rnacentral:rRNA from 1 species
AUUGAACGCUGGCGGCAGGCCUAACACAUGCAAGUCGAACGGUAACAGGAAGAAGCUUGCUUCUUUGCUGACGAGUGGCGGACGGGUGAGUCAUGUCUGGGAAACUGCCUGAUGGAGGGGGAUAACUACUGGAAACGGUAGCUAAUACCGCAUAACGUCGCAAGACCAAAAAGGGGGACCUUCGGGCCUCUUGCCAUCGGAUGUGCCCAGAUGGGAUUAGCUAGUAGGUGGGGUAACGGCUCACCUAGGCGACGAUCCCUAGCUGGUCUGAGAGGAUGACCAGCCACACUGGAACUGAGACACGGUCCAGACUCCUACGGGAGGCGGCAGUGGGGAAUAUUGCACAAUGGGCGCAAGCCUGAUGCAGCCAUGCCGCGUGUAUGAAGAAGGCCUUCGGGUUGUAAAGUACUUUCAGCGGGGAGGAAGGGAGUAAAGUUAAUACCUUUGCUCAUUGACGUUACCCGCAGAAGAAGCACCGGCUAACUCCGUG